rnacentral:rRNA from 1 species
ACGGCGAAGUGAAGCGGCAACAGCUCAAAUUUGAAAUCUGGCCCUUCUGGGGUCCGAGUUGUAAUUUGUAGAGAGUGCUUCGGGUGAGACCGCGGUCUAAGUCCAUUGGAACAUGGCGUCAUAGAGGGUGAGAAUCCCGUCUGCGAUCGUGGCUUGAGCCCGUGUGAAGCCUCUUCGACGAGUCGAGUUGUUUGGGAAUGCAGCUCAAAAUGGGUGGUAAAUUUCAUCUAAAGCUAAAUACUGGCUGGAGACCGAUAGCGCACAAGUAGAGUGAUCGAAAGAUGAAAAGCACUUUGGAAAGAGAGUCAAAAAGUACGUGAAAUUGUUGAAAGGGAAGCGCUUGCAACCAGACCUGCCCGUGGGCGAUCAACCGCUGUUCUCAGCGGUGCACUCGCUCUGCGAUCAGGCCAGCAUCGGUUUUGGCGGUCGGAUAAAGGCCUUGGGAAUGUAGCUCCCCUUCGGGGGAGUCUUAUAGCCCUCGGUGCAAUGCGGCCAGCCGAGACCGAGGACCGCGCUUCGGCUAGGAUGCUGGCGUAAUGGUUGUAAGCGACCCGUCUUGAAACACGGACCAAGGAGUCUAACAUCGAUGCGAGUGUUUGGGUGUCAAACCCAUGCGCGAAAUGAAAGUGAACGGAGGUGAGAACCCUUAAGGGCGCAUCAUCGACCGAUCCAGAUGUCUUCGGAUGGAUUUGAGUAUGAGCAUCGCUGCUGGAACCCGAAAGGUUUGUACCCCUGUUUUCUUGAUAACGGUGAGCCUUGCUAACAUUGUAUCCAGAUGGUGAACUAUGCCUGAAUAGGGUGAAGCCAGAGGAAACUCUGGUGGAGGCUCGCAGCGGUUCUGACGUGCAAAUCGAUCGUCAAAUUUGGGGUAUAGGGGGCGAAAGACUAAUCGAACCAUCUAGUAGCUGGUUCCUGCCGAAUUC